ACAGGGUGUGAUACAAAAAAUUCUCCAGAAAUAAUUUAGCAUAAAAUGUAUUCUUGUAAUUUGUGGAUUUAACCCUGUGUGGAGCGUGCUUCCCCAACGGCUCUGAAACUACAGCCAUGGAACUUAGAAGGAAUGGCCAUCCGUUAGCUACUAAAAAAUAUGACCGUUUUAAAAAGCAAUGACCGUUACUGUUUACUACUGUUUUAAAAAGCAGUCCGUUGCUGUAUGUUCAUCUCUUAUAAAUGGCAGCGAGACUGUUCUUGUGGAUUAGCGAGGGUUGGUGUAUUUUUUAUUGUUGGUUUUUUUGUCAGUGUUUUUUCUUGGUGUUUUAUGUUUGUUUUAUUUUUAUUUUUUUGUGAUUUUCCAUGUUUUCUGAUAAGGGUUUUGUACUGUUCUUCUUCUGUGAUUUGGUUUUUGGGUUGGUUUUUCUAUUUGAGGGAAGACAAAGAGCAGAGGCAGAGCAAAAGGAAGCGACAAUUGAAGAGGGAAGGCAAGCUGAUUCCAUCUCCAAUUUCCUCCUUAGCAGUUAAGAGAGAGGUUGGCCUGCUAAUCCGCAUUUUGGGUUGAAUGACAAAACUACAGGGGAGGAAGGAAGGCUCUGCCCUUAGUCUCAGUCGCAUCUACAUUCAGUGUUAUAAUCUUCUUGAACGGUGGGGGUGUCAUCACUCUAUCAUUCCAGCAGCCUGACCCACCUUCGACCAUAGUUUUCAUCCCAGUUCUUUUUUUCUGCCUUGCUUUUUCCUUUUCCCUACUCAAAUUCUCCUCCUACAAAUCAAUGCCCUGGACCAAUUUUUUAGGUUGUUUUGUUACUGGAAAACAUGCACUUGCAUCUUUUAGUUAUAUUUCCAAAUAUUCAUUGUCAUUACCAUCCUUGUGGAAUCCCUAUUCCUGUAAAAAAUAAAUGUAUACAUAUAUUGCUCGGGUGGGAUGUGCUUUAUGGAGAAGUGCUAUUUUAGAAAGAAAAU